GAUCCCAAUUACAAUUGUUAACCAAGAAAUUCUGAUCCCAAUUACCAUUGUUAACUAUGUGGCAACCAAAAAUAUGUUUGGUCAGGAAAAUAUCACUACUGUAUUAUUGUCCUUAAUGAAAUUAUUUUGGAAAUCUGAGCACAAAAGUCUAAGCUUAGAAGUUAAACCUUCACUUUCAUCAUCAGUGGAUGGCAUAGAAAAUUUCAUAAAAUUUCAUAUGUGGAAAUGCUCUAUCUUUGUAAAAAUGGCAAUUUUGAAACACAAACUUACAUUCUACAUAUUUCAAGUUCUGUUAAGACAUAUAAAGAUCUAUCUCUUAACUUCAUUCCCAUGACAAACUGGAGAAAGAUCUACUCACAACACAUGCUGAAUUCCUAUGGAAAAUUACAAAAAUUAGUGUCUUUGUUCAAAAGAAGGUACACUAUCUUGAAAAAAGCCUCUGUUUAAUGUAAAGGCCAUGUAUGCUAUAGUGAAAUAAACUGGAUUUGUUUCCUAUA